rnacentral:SRP_RNA from 1 species
GACUGGGUCCCUGGCGGCGAGGGCCGUCGAACCGGGUCAGGUCCGGGAGGAAGCAGCCCUAAGGCGUCUCCCUCGGGUGCCCAGGAUCACCUGGUGGCC